rnacentral:rRNA from 1 species
CCUACGGGAGGCAGCAGUGGGGAAUAUUGCGCAAUGGGCGAAAGCCUGACGCAGCGACGCCGCGUGAGGGAUGAAGGUCUUCGGAUCGUAAACCUCUGUCAGCAGGGAAGAACGGUCACUGUGCUAAUCAGCAGUGAAUUGACGGUACCUGCAAAGGAAGCACCGGCUAACUCCGUGCCAGCAGCCGCGGUAAUACGGAGGGUGCGAGCGUUAAUCGGAAUUACUGGGCGUAAAGCGCUCGUAGGCGGUAUGUCAAGUCAAGGGUGAAAUCCCCGCGCUCAACGUGGGAACUGCCUUUGAAGCUGGCAAACUGGAGUGUGUGAGAGGAUAGUGGAAUUCCAGGUGUAGGAGUGAAAGCCGUAGAUAUCUGGAGGAACAUCAGUGGCGAAGGCGACUAUCUGGCACAUAACUGACGCUGAGGAGCGAAAGCGUGGGUAGCAAACAGGAUUAGAUACCCCAGUAGUC